rnacentral:rRNA from 1 species
AGCAGCCGCGGUAAUUCCAGCUCCAAUAGCGUAUAUUAAAGUUGUUGCAGUUAAAAAGCUCGUAGUUGAAUUUCGGGAUCAAGUCGUCGGUCGUGCUCAGGUACGUACUGGCGUCAUUGAUUUCUCCCUUCUGACGAACCAUGAUGUCAUUAAUUUGGUGUCAUGGGAAAUCAGGACUGUUACUUUGAAAAAAUUAGAGUGUUUAAAGCAGGCUCACGCUUGAAUACAUUAGCAUGGAAUAAUGAAAUAGGACGUUCGAUCCUAUUUUGUUGGUUUUUAGGAUCAACGUAAUGAUUAAUAGGGAUAGUUGGGGGCAUUAGUAUUCAAUUGUCAGAGGUGAAAUUCUUGGAUUUAUUGAAGACUAACUACUGCGAAAGCAUUUGCCAAGGAUGUUUUCAUUAAUCAAGAACGAAAGUUAGGGGAUCGAAGACGAUCAGAUACCGUCGUAGU